rnacentral:rRNA from 1 species
UACGUAGGGGGCAAGCGUUUGUCCGGAUUUAUUGGGCGUAAAGAGCGUGUAGGCGGCUUGGUAGGUCCGCUGUGAAAACUCGAGGCUCAACCUCGAGAUGUCGGCGGAAACCACUUGGCUAGAGUCCGGAAGAGGAGAGUGGAAUUCCCGGUGUAGCGGUGAAAUGCGCAGAUAUCGGGAAGAACACCUAUGGCGAAGGCAGCUCUCUGGGACGGUACUGACGCUGAGACGCGAAAGCGUGGGGAGCGAACAGG